GGUAGCUCAGCAGGAUAGAGCAAUGGCCUUCUAAGCCAUCGGUCGGGGGUUCGAAUCCCUCCC
rnacentral:tRNA from 1 species